rnacentral:rRNA from 1 species
UACGGGGGGAGCAAGCGUUGUUCGGAUUUACUGGGCGUAAAGGGCGCGUAGGCGGCCAGCACAAGUCAGUUGUGAAAUCUCCGAGCUUAACUCGGAAAGGUCAACUGAUACUGUGCGGCUAGAGUGCGGAAGGGGCAACUGGAAUUCUUGGUGUAGCGGUGAAAUGCGUAGAUAUCAAGAGGAACACCUGCGGCGAAGGCGGGCUGCUGGGCCGACACUGACGCUGAGGCGCGAAAGCCAGGGGAGCAAACGGG